rnacentral:rRNA from 1 species
AUCCAGACUCCUACGGGAGGCAGCAGUCGGGAAUAUUGCGCAAUGGAGGAAACUCUGACGCAGUGACGCCGCGUGCAGGAAGAAGGUUUUCGGAUUGUAAACUGCUUUAGACAGGGAAGAAAAAAGACAGUACCUGUAGAAUAAGCUCCGGCUAACUACGUGCCAGCAGCCGCGGUAAUACGUAGGGGGCAAGCGUUAUCCGGAUUUACUGGGUGUAAAGGGAGCGUAGACGGCAUGGCAAGUCAGAUGUGAAAGCCCGGGGCUCAACCCCGGGACUGCAUUUGAAACUGUCAGGCUGGAGUGCAGGAGAGGUAAGUGGAAUUCCUAGUGUAGCGGUGAAAUGCGUAGAUAUUAGGAGGAACACCAGUGGCGAAGGCGGCUUACUGGACUGUAACUGACGUUGGGGCUCGAAAGCGUGGGGAGCAAACAGGAUUAGAUACCCCGGUA